GACGAACGCUGGCGGCGUGCUUAACACAUGCAAGUCGAACGGUGAAGGGGUCUGCUUUUGUGGGCCCUGGAUGGGUGGCGAAUGGGUGAGUAACACGUGAGUAACCUGCCCCCUUCUUCUGGAUAACCGCAUGAAAGUGUGGCUAAUACGAGAUAUUCCUGGUCUGUCGCAUGAUGGGUCUGGGAAAGACUGCGCCGUUUGGUGUUGUUGGUUGGGGAUGGGCUGGCGGGCUAUCGGCUUGCCGGUGGGGUGAUGGCUUGCCAAGGAGGUGACGGGUAGGGGGCUGGAGGGGAUGGACGGUCAGAGGGGGACUGGGAACCGGCCCAGUCUGAUACGGCAGGCAGCAGUGGGGGAUAUUGCAGAAUGGGCGAAUGCCUGAUGGGGCGAAGCCGCGUGAGGGAUCGAGGCCUUCGGGUUGUAAGCCUCUUUGGCCAGAGAAGCAGGCGUGUGCGAUGUGGGUGGGUUGACGGUAGUUGGAUAAGAAGCGCCGGCUAACUACGUG
rnacentral:rRNA from 1 species